rnacentral:rRNA from 1 species
GAUGAACGCUGGCGGCGUGCCUAAUACAUGCAAGUCGAGCGAACGGACGAGAAGCUUGCUUCUCUGAUGUUAGCGGCGGACGGGUGAGUAACACGUGGAUAACCUACCUAUAAGACUGGGAUAACUUCGGGAAACCGGAGCUAAUACCGGAUGGUAUUUUGAACCGCAUGGUUCAAAAGUGAAAGACGGUCUUGCUGUCACUUAUAGAUGGAUCCGCGCUGCAUUAGCUAGUUGGUAAGGUAACGGCUUACCAAGGCAACGAUGCAUAGCCGACCUGAGAGGGUGAUCGGCCACCCUGGAACUGAGACACGGUCCAGACUCCUACGGGAGGCAGCAGUAGGGAAUCUUCCGCAAUGGGCGAAAGCCUGACGGAGCAACGCCGCGUGAGUGAUGAAGGUCUUCGGAUCGUAAAACUCUGUUAUUAGGGAAGAACAUAUGUGUAAGUAACUGUGCACAUCUUGACGGUACCUAAUCAGAAAGCCACGGCUAACUACGUG